rnacentral:rRNA from 1 species
GAAUUCGCCCUUGGGGAAUUUUCCGCAAUGGGCGAAAGCCUGACGGAGCAACGCCGCGUGAGGGAGGAAGGUCUUUGGAUUGUAAACCUCUUUUCUCAAGGAAGAAGUUCUGACGGUACUUGAGGAAUCAGCCUCGGCUAACUCCGUGCCAGCAGCCGCGGUAAUACGGGGGAGGCAAGCGUUAUCCGGAAUUAUUGGGCGUAAAGCGUCCGCAGGUGGUCAGCCAAGUCUGCCGUCAAAUCAGGUUGCUUAACGACCUAAAGGCGGUGGAAACUGGCAGACUAGAGAGCAGUAGGGGUAGCAGGAAUUCCCAGUGUAGCGGUGAAAUGCGUAGAGAUUGGGAAGAACAUCGGUGGCGAAAGCGUGCUACUGGGCUGUAUCUGACACUCAGGGACGAAAGCUAGGGGAGCGAAAGGGAUUAGAUACCCCUGUAGUCCUAGCCGUAAACGAUGGAUACUAGGCGUGGCUUGUAUCGACCCGAGCCGUGCCGAAGCUAACGCGUUAAGUAUCCCGCCUGGGGAGUACGCACGCAAGUGUGAAACUCAAAGGAAUUGACGGGGGCCCGCACAAGCGGUGGAGUAUGUGGUUUAAUUCGAUGCAACGCGAAGAACCUUACCAAGACUUGACAUGUCGCGAACCCUGGUGAAAGCUGGGGGUGCCUUCGGGAGCGCGAA